CUUGAGGAAUGUAUUUUUCUUCUCUUUCUUCUAUUGUGUACCCGCUCUCCUCAUGGCCCUGUUCUGCUCAGAGAGGCUCUCCUUCGCCACUGUCAUUUGUAUUCAGCCAUUGUGCUGAAUUACAUUCAGACAUUGUGUUGGGGUGGAGAUUAAACCAAAAAUCCAUGGAAUGUCUCCUACAGGAUGUAAAAUUCUACAUGAUUGGCCUUGUAUUGGCAGUUUCUGGAAAGCAGCAACCUUGCCUGCCUUAUAUUCAUUCCUAUGUUUGUCACAUAGGUUCUUGGCAUGGUGCCCGGCAUGUAUGGGUGCUCAAUAAAUGCUCUGUGAAUAAACA
rnacentral:lncRNA from 1 species